UACCGUAAUGCAAAAUCCAAAGGUCCCGCACUCGACCUAAUUGUAAAUACAAACGUAACGCUACCCACAUCAAUGGUAAUAUCUAGAAACAGGACAAAAUAAUUUAGUAGCACUGCACAGCACUAAUUUAUCCAUACUGGAUUUACCACUUCCGGCUUCCGCUAUCCAAAACCUUUGUCAGCCGUAUUAGUGACGUUACUUAGCUGUGCAGCAUUAAAUGCUGCCGCCUUUCUGUUUUUACUCUAGUUUGGCACUAAUCUCUACUUUCAAAAAGGAAGUCCUCAGCCGCAAAAGUGGGAAUUAGCAGACGGCUCGUUGAGCCUAUCGAAGUCUAGCUACAGAUUCAGAUAGGGGCGGAGCUUUGCAAGUUGUGAAUUAUCACAUGAUCAACAGUCAUGAUGUGGCAGUAAAUUUGGUCGAAAAGGUGUGAGAUUAGCGCUCUAAAGAUUUUCUGGAGUUAAGCAAGUCACACAGUGGACCUACUUGCCAAUGAAGUUCAGAAAGUAGCUCUCAGCUGGACAGUUUGGAUGCUGGAAUGUCUUUGAUCACUGCUGUGAAGGACCUGGGCCGGUUUGACUACCAGAGAAAACUCUUUUGCCUCCCAGGCUGGCUGAUGCUCUAACGGACUUCAGUACGCUUUGAUACAAAGGGAGCCAGCUUGCAUCAUUUCAGUCUUCUUGCUGCCGGAACCUAAAACAGUGUACACGUGUCAGUCGGUCAGCAUGAGAGAAGUCAUUGG